rnacentral:rRNA from 1 species
UGCCAGCCGCCGCGGUAAUACGAGUGGCCCAAGCGUUAUUCGGAAUCACUGGGCUUAAAGCGUGCGCAGGCGGGCCAGUAAGCAUCUUGUGAAAUCCCACGGCUCAACCGUGGAACUGCAGGGUGAACUGCUGGCCUUGAGGCAGGUAGGGGCUGAUGGAACCAUGGGUGGAGCGGUGAAAUGUGUAGAUAUCCAUGGGAACGCCGAUGGGUAAGCCGAUCAGCUGGGCCUGUCCUGACGCUCAUGCACGAAAGCGUGGGGAGCAAACAGGAUUAGAUA